CCCAUGCAUCCCGAAAAAUGCACUGUUUGGUGUGGUUUGUACGCUGGUGGAAUCAUUGGACCGUAUUUUUUCAAAGAUGCUGUUGGACGCAACGUUACGGUGAAUGGCGAUCGCUAUCGUUCGAUGCUAACAAACUUUUUGUUGCCAAAAAUGGAAGAACUGAACUUGGUUGACAUGUGGUUUCAACAAGAUGGCGCUACAUGCCACACAGCUCGCGAUUCUAUGGCCAUUUUGAGGGAAAACUUCGGACAACAAUUCAUCUCAAGAAAUGGACCCGUAAUUUGGCCACCAAGAUCAUGCGAUUUAACGCCUUUAGACUAUUUUUUGUGGGGCUACGUCAAGUCUAAAGUCUACAGAAAUAAGCCAGCAACUAUUCCAGCUUUGGAAGACAACAUUUCCGAAGAAAUUCGGGCUAUUCCGGCCGAAAUGCUCGAAAAAGUUGCCCAAAAUUGGACUUUCCGAAUGGACCACCUAAGACGCAGCCGCGGUCAACAUUUAAAUGAAAUUAUCUUCAAAAAGUAAAUGUCAUGAACCAAUCUAACGUUUCAAAUAAAGAACCGAUGAGAUUUUGCAAAUUUUAUGCGUUUUUUUUUAAAAAAGUUAUCAAGCUCUUAAAAAAUCACCCUUUAUAAGU